GAUGAACGCUAGCGGCAGGCCUAACACAUGCAAGUCGAGGGGCAUCGCGGUGCAGCAAUGCACUGGCGGCGACCGGCGUACGGGUGCGUAACGCGUAUGCAACCUGCCCCGCACCGGGGGAUAGCCCGCCGAAAGGCGGAUUAAUACCCCAUGGUCCCGGGGGCCCGCAUGGGCAUCCGGGUAAAGCCUUGGCGGUGCGGGAUGGGCAUGCGUGCCAUUAGCUGGCUGGUGGGGUAACGGCCCACCAGGGCAACGAUGGCUAGGGGGUCUGAGAAGAUGGUCCCCCACACUGGUACUGAGACACGGACCAGACUCCUACGGGAGGCAGCAGUGAGGAAUAUUGGUCAAUGGGCGGAAGCCUGAACCAGCCAUGCCGCGUGCGGGAUGAAGGCCCUACGGGUUGUAAACCGCUUUUCCCUGGGAAGAAUAACCCCGAUGAGUCGGGGGAUGCCGGUACCGGGGGAAUAAGGAUCGGCUAACUCCGUG
rnacentral:rRNA from 1 species